CUGUGCUGACAGCUCAGAGCCCGGAGCCUGCUUCGGAUUCUGUGUCUCCCUUGCUCUCUGCCCCUCGCCUGUUCGCACCCUGUCGCUCUCUCCCAAGACUACGUAAGCAUUAAAAAAAAAAGAAGAAAAAAAGAAGUGAGACAGAGCAUAGGAGCAGACAGAAAGAUGUCCAAGGCAAAAGGAGAUUACCAUGAAAGUGUCAGCCACGUUUACUUUGGAAUGCCAGAGUCGAUAUUCUGGAAGUGAUGUGGGUGGAAUACGUACACGGGAGUGAUGGAUGAGAGCUUUCGUUACCGUCUUAACUGAGUCACAGACGACCGAGAGAGUGGGAGCGUCGCCUGCUCUCGGCGUCUGAACACCUGGCGCUCAUGGAGAACCGGAGAGGCGGUGGGGCCCUGUCAUGGGGCUCCUCUCCCUGGGUGGUGAGACCUGCUCCCUGUGGCCUGCCCAAGGGCUCGUGGUGACAGAGUAGAGGAGCUGGACUUGAGCGCAGCUUGUCAAAUCCAGAGUUCCUUCCUCCAGACCGCUGGCUGAUUAGAAGCGCUCUGGGAAUAUACAUUUUUAUAAGUCCUUAAGAGAAACCAGGACUCACUCCCACUUGUAUUUGUCUAAGUGCUAAGUUCAAAUAAAACAAAUUCAAACAUG